ACUCCUACGGGAGGCAGCAGCAGGAAUCUUGCACAAUGGGCGAAAGCCUGAUGCAGCAACGCCGCGUGUGGGAUGAAGGCCUUCGGGUUGUAAACCACUUUCAGGAGGGAAGAAAUUGACGGUACCUCCAAAGAAGGUCCGGCCAACUACGUGCCAGCAGCCGCGGUAAUACGUAGGGACCGAGCGUUAUCCGGAAUCAUUGGGCGUAAAGAGCUCGUAGGCGGUUCAGAAAGUCGGCUGUGAAAGUCCAAGGCUCAACCUUGGAAAUGCAGUCGAGACUUCUGUGACUAGAGUCUGGUAGAGGAGAAUGGAAUUCCCGGUGUAGCGGUGGAAUGCGCAGAUAUCGGGAGGAACACCGAGUAGCGAAGGCGGUUCUCUGGGCCUCGACUGGACGCUGAGGAGCGAAAGCAUGGUAGCAAACAGGAUUAGAUACCCUGGUAGG
rnacentral:rRNA from 1 species